rnacentral:rRNA from 1 species
AUUGAACGCUGGCGGCAGGCCUAACACAUGCAAGUCGAACGAGUGGCGGACGGGUGAGUAAUGUCUGGGAAACUGCCCGAUGGAGGGGGAUAACUACUGGAAACGGUAGCUAAUACCGCAUACCAUCGGAUUUGCCCAGAUGGGAUUAGCUAGUAGGUGGGGUAAUGGCUCACCUAGGCGACGAUCCCUAGCUGGUCUGAGAGGAUGACCAGCCACACUGGAAUUGAGACACGCCCAAGACCCCUACGGGAGGAAGAAGUGGGGAAUAUUGGACAAUGGGCGAAAGCCGGAUGCGGCAAGGCCGCGUGGAUGAAGAAGGCCUUCGGGUUGUAAAGUACUUUCAGAGGGGAGGCGUUACUCGAAGAAGAAGCAACGGCUAACUCCGUGCCAGCAGCCGCGGUAAUAC